UUCAAACUGUUUUGAUUUGGUUUUAGGACUCUGAACUGCAAUCAAGGUACAGUCCAGAAAAUCUGAAUGAAAUUCCCUAAUGUUCAGAUAUCUUAUGUUGUUCUGAUUGCCUUUUCUGGCCAAUAUUAUUCACCUACUUCUCUGCCUGGCUACUUGGCAGAACAUUUUUCAUGACUGAGUAGAUCCUGUGAGUCAGUGAUUGGACAAGCUGAGCAGAUAUUAACAAAAUAGAAUGCUCUGUUUCUUUAGGAGACCUACACCUCUCCAUGGAUGUCAGCCAAAGACCAACAUUGCUCAAAUUACAUCUGUAAAUCCCAAUCUAUUGAAAAACAGAUUAAAAAUCAAGAGCAAUUUGUAAA